UAAAAUUAUGUUUAUUUUAAGUUAAAUUUUCAAACGUUUUGACGCAAGACUUUUAUUUAACUUUAUGCACACGACUGCGCAUAAGAUUCAUUUUCUUGUUUUAUACUCUUGACAUCAGAUCGAGAUUAGACAAGUUCAAAAAUAAAAACAAAUCUAGGAUUUUUUCAUUUGCAGUGUUACCAAACGGUGAGACCAAGGGACCUGGAGGAGGGGUAGGGAAGUAGGAGGAGUCUGGGAGGCUGUCAGGACCACAGUAAAAAUAAGUGGCAGGAAACUAGAGCCUCAUUUCCAGAUCAGUAACAGACUGCGAAGGAAGCUGUUACCAGUAGACCAGAGCAGAACAUGGGACCAUCGGUUGGUAGGAAGCUGUUACAUGAGGCGGAGAAAGCAACAAAUAAUAGAAAGUUAAUAAAAUCUCAGGUGGAGAAACGUCGGAGGGACAGAAUGAACCGCAGUUUGGAGUGUCUGAGGACCAUGUUUCUGCAGGAGCCACAAGAAGGGUCCACUCAGCACCGAGUGGAGAAAGCUGAGAUACUGGAGCACACAGUCCUCUUCCUCCAGAACACUGCCAAAGGAGACAAGACUACAGGUGGACGUGGGGACCAGAAACGCUCCUUCCAGGACGGUUUCUCCACUUGCCUGCAGACAGCUGCGGGGUUUCUGGGCCCCGAGGGGAAAGGGUCGGAGCUCGGAUCGGCGCUGGAUGCAGCUUUUGCCGCUCGUUUGGCCCGUUCACACUCACAGCCCGAAGGUCUCCAAAGCAGAAACUUUUUGCCGCACGCAAAGUUUAUUCUGCGGGUGCUGAGGCAGAAGUCCAAGCUCAGACUCCCGGCACGUGCCUCAGGGGAGAAACGUUUGAUCCGACCUUACCCACUCCCACUCCAACAAAGGUUUCCCAGAGUCCCCAAACAGCCUCAGAAACAAAGAGAGUCCGAGAUCAGAGCAGAGAGAGGAGCGACCAAACAGAGCUCAGCCCAGAGCUCCCCCUCCAGCCACACUUUGUGGAGACCUUGGCCCUGAUCACCAGGCAGGGACUUCAGAGCUAUCAAUGACUAUAGACUAUUUAACAUAAACACACAACUUCUUUUUAAAAACUGUAGCCUUAUGAAGACGCAUAACUUCAGGUCCUGUAAAUAUUGUAAAUACCCGAGUAUGACUUGAUCUGUAUGUGUAAUAGGGUUGAUUCACUGUUUUAAAUACUUUUCAAUGAGCUCAGUCAGCCACGUAAGUGGCUCAGGGGAACGGGGACUCUCUCAGGCUGCGACACAGGUGAGCUGGAUCAGCCGAGCGGUCCAGCUGGGAUUGCUGCGCUGAAGAGCGAGUGAAGAGGUGUGGAAGCUCAGGGUUUGAGGCUGGGAGACCCACGCAGACCUUCAUAUUCACCUCUCUGGUGGAACGAGCGACACCUGUGUCUCUGUGUACAACAUCACUUCUAUUCAAUCUGAAGAUAUUUCUGGUCGGUUUUUGCACAAUAAUUUAAUCUGGAUUUCUCCCUAUGGCGACCUGUACUCUUCAAAGUUAAAACAAUCAAAUAAAUCUUUAAAAACUUGUCAGAUGAUUGUUUCAAGAUUAAAGGAAACCCGGAGGCCUUUUACUCUUUCAGCUCUUUUUAGUCCGAGGCAGAGGUGUGAAGCUCGACCUCCUGCAGAGUUACAUCCUCCAGGUGUGAAGACUGGUCAUGAAAUGAAAGAGCUCAGCAGCAGCUCUCACUUCAAAGACAUCAUAGCCAUUGUCGCACUUUACUGGCACUGAAAGACUUUUGGAUUAAGAUUAGUUAAUAUAGUUCAGAUAAUUUAAGACAACUUAAUAAUAAUAAUAAUAAUAAUAAUAUUAAUAACUACAUCCACUUUUUUCUGCAUCAUCCAGUUUCGUUUCUCACAGUUGCCUUUAAACAUAUUUAGAAUAGCAGGAUCCAUUAAAGUCAAGAUCAUUUCACAUAAUUAACACACAGCUCACGUCUGCGUUUGUUUCCUUUGUAUUCAGCGUCUAUCCUGUCACCAGCAUCGCCCCCAGCUGCUCAGAGGUCAUUUGUUUUCCACACGUGUGUGGUGUCAGGUCCCAGGGAGCAAAACGUGUCUUAACCCCGUAAGAAUCAGUGGCAUUUUUUUCCCCCCUAUCGUCACCGUUAGUUUCAAACUAUAUCGUAGGCUUUAUGUGACACCAGCAGUGAUAAAGUGACACCGUCUCAAUGCUGGUCAUCAUGCCCUUUUGCUGCUAAAGUAUUUAUACCUACAUUCUAUAUUCAUACUUGUACUCAGGUUGGUACUCUAUUGUAUUAUUUUAUUACUUGUUUUUCUGUUUUGAAGGAAAAAAAAAACCCAAAAACUUUAUUUAAUACUUUUUAAAUUCUGUUUUUUUAAAUUCUGUUUCUUCGUUCCACCUCAUGUAAACAUGUGAUGUGAAUGACAAAUAAAGCUCCUU